rnacentral:rRNA from 1 species
GACGAACGCUGGCGGCGUGCUUAACACAUGCAAGUCGAACGGAAAGGCCCUGCUUUUGUGGGGUGCUCGAGUGGCGAACGGGUGAGUAACACGUGAGUAACCUGCCCUUGACUUUGGGAUAACUUCAGGAAACUGGGGCUAAUACCGGAUAGGAGCUCCUGCUGCAUGGUGGGGGUUGGAAAGUUUCGGCGGUUGGGGAUGGACUCGCGGCUUAUCAGCUUGUUGGUGGGGUAGUGGCUUACCAAGGCUUUGACGGGUAGCCGGCCUGAGAGGGUGACCGGCCACAUUGGGACUGAGAUACGGCCCAGACUCGUACGGGAGGCAGCAGUGGGGAGUAUUGCACAAUGGGCGGAAGCCUGAUGCAGCGACGCCGCGGGCGGGAUGACGGCCUUCGGGUUGUAAACCGCUUUCGCCUGUGACGAAGCGUGAGUGACGGUAAUGGGUAAAGAAGCACCGGCUAACUACGUG